rnacentral:lncRNA from 1 species
CCCGGGGCGGCGCCCCUCCGCCCGGCCGCGCUCCAGGCCCAGAUGCCGGACGCCGCGCUCAGGACACAGACCCCACUCUGCAGCAGCCUGCCGCUGCCGGCAGCCAGGGCCUCCUUCCAACUCCAGCGCAAAUUUUUCGAACGUAAGAGAAGAAUACAGUCAUUAUCGGAGGUGGAGACAUUCAGAAGUUGUUCUUAAUCAGAGUGAAGCUUGUGCUUUGGAAAGUCAGCCUCACGCCUCAGCACGCACAGCAGCUGGUUCUCCAGGUUCCUCCUGGAUGAAGAAUUAGUUUCCAGCCCCCCUUUACCCUCUGACAAGUUGGAAGGAUACGUCAGCAUCUCUUAAAAGACUAGGAAGGUCAGAUUGGGGAGGGGUAUGAGCAAAUCCUCUCUACCAAUAUGAAUUUUUGUGAAAUUCACACAAAACGGGAGGAGGUCAACAAGCUGUGGGUCCUGAAGGUUUUUUGCAUAUCUGGGUAGGAGGUUUGACCUCAAGAGAUUUCUGCUGUACACUUUUGUAACUGGUUUGACAUAUUUCGGCUCCAACUUUGCAUCCUGAGAACACUUAAACGUUUCUGCAGGCUCAUUUUAUACAACCUGAAAGAGCUUAAAAGUUUCUGGUUGCCACAAGCAUAUCUUUCUUUUCUGCACAUCCAAGAGACAGCUGUGCCCUGCUGGGAUAGAUUUUCCAAACAAAAAUACCCGGAGCAGCAGUUUGGGAAAUAUGCCUUCAGCGGCGCUCCACAGAUGGGGUUUCCGGAAGCACAGUACUAGUAUUACUGUUUGCUUAUAAAUGGACGUAUUCACUGCACAAAGACAAAUGUUCUCAUGCUGAGCAGAAGAGAGAUCUGGUGUUGCCUGGUCCUGCCGGAGCCCUCCGGCCCAUCACCUCCUGCCAGCCUUCCAUGCGUACCUUGCCAUGAAAAGGGAAAGAAGCUGUUUCCAAAUUCGUGAUGAAUCUUACAAUCAAUGGUAUCUGCACAAGUGUCUGUACUUUCCAAAUACAUUGAAUAAGCUCCUUUUAACUUCUUUCUUUCUUUACUGAGACCCCACAAGAGAGUGUGUUAAUCACAUUAAUAUUAUUGGUACUAGAACCGUGACCUAAGCUUACAAGUCACCUUCAAACAAAUUUUAUGCAGCCAAGAAUUAGGCUUUAACUGCCACCAUAAAGCUUGCCUUAAGGGAAAACACUCUUGAUAAAAAUCUAAAUACACGCAAAUCAAAGAGUCUACUUUUCCACUGCAAUUAUUUGUCUCAGUUUCUCAGUAGUAACUAAUCUGCUAAUUAGAACUAACAAACCUUGGAUUCUGAAAUGGACUUCCAAAGUUUUUGUGCAACUAAAUGACCAGCAAUAAAGGACCUGGCUGUAAUUGCAAAGCUGAAUUAUUAACACAUGCUCUUCUUUUCUUUAUUCUGGAAAAUGUAAAGUUUUGCCCCAAUUUAGGAUGCCUAAUCAGCUGUUAUAAAAGUUUCUUGAUCAAAAAAUUGGUUUAUAUUUUGGAUUUUAUCUGAAAUAAUAUAAAUAUGACUUGGUAUAAUGAAAGAGUAAUGAUUGAAAUAAUUGACAUUAACCAUGAUUCCAUAGAUUUGAGGGUCUGCCUUGUUUUGUAAACCUGGUCAUCAAUUCUCCUGAACGUUAUCAGUUAAAAAACAGAAAAAAGAUAUGACCAUUUUACAAAGACAACUAUCCAACUAAGGACCUUGGGUUCUGAAUCAAAUGUCUCUCCUCCAGUAUAAGAAAGACCGAUCCAGGUAGAAGUGUCUGUAUGAAGAGACAUACAUAUAUAAAUUAAGAGACAUACAUAUAUAAAUGCUGUGAUUUUUGCUAUAUAUGUAAAUGUAAUAAAAACUGUAUCAUUCUUGGGGUAUCGUUAACCAUUAAAGUCCAAAUUCAGACUUGACCGAGUGAAGAGAAAUCGUAAGCAAUUAUCCAGCAGUGGGAAAAGACAGAACUCGGCACUGCAAAAUCUGGGGUGAAGUCCCUACUCAGUCCCUUAUUAACUCAGAGAACUUGGGUUAGUCACCUAAUCCCUCUAAGGCUCAUUUUCCACAUCUGUCAAUUAAGAAUAAUAUGUUGCUUGAGAGGGUGUUUGGGGAUUCAAAUGACAUAAUGGAAACGUAUAUACUUUGUAAAUUAUAAAAUGCUCUACAAAUGUUAUUUAAAGACAUUUAAAAAAAUAAAAUCUGAGACAACUUCCUGGCUGAGCAACGUUUUCAGGAAUUAUUUCAAUAAUCAGAAAGGAAACAGCACCAGAAAUUGAAUUUGGAGCAAUUAAGUAUGAGACAGUCACAAUCUGUGCCUACUCCCAAGGCUGGUAUACCUACUCCAGCAUCCCCGUGCCCUCUGACUGUGGAAGACCUCGGUUUCUUCACUCAUUCUCUGUCCUGGGUUCCUGAGGUGCAGAGAGAACUAACAGCCAAGGCAUCUCCCCUUCUGGAGCUAAUACGAGAGACACGAAUUAAUUAAAUAAUCACACGAAUACAUAUAAACAGUGACAAGCCUUUAAAGGAAGAGUUCACGGGGCUCUGCAUGUGAGAGAUGGACUUGAUCUAUUUUGGUGUUGUCAGGAAGCCUUCCUGAGGAAGUAACAUUUGGGCAAAAACAUGAAGGAUGAUUAGGCAAGAACUAGAUGAGGUUGUGGGGGGCACAGAGAAUGGUAGAAAUAUUCCAGGCAGAGGUAACUGCCUUAGCAAAGACCUUGAAAGAGAAAGAACUGAAAGGAGGAUGUUGAUAGAAGCUGAAUGUGGUGCAGUAGGAGAAGCAAGCAGAAGCCAGUCUUUAUCCAAGGGCAGAGAAGUGACAAGAGUACUUCUUUAAAAUAACACUGUGGAGAGUGAAUUGGAGGAUGGGAGGGCAAGGGGGAAUAAGAGUUAAGUUUGAUUAGUAUGAUAAGUUUGAUUGAAUGAGGGAAUUUGAUAGCUUCAAAUGGGUAGGGGUGACAUCCCAUAUCUAUGGAUGUCGAUUAAGAGAAAAAGUUUAGGAAUAAAUCUUGAGGGGCACCAACUUUAAAGGUCUCAAGAAAAGAGGAUAAGUCUAAAAAUAAGAGAUAGGAAGGUAGGAGGGACAUUAGGCGUCACAGAAAAAAAAUGCUGCUGAGUGGUCAAGUAAGAUGAAGACUGAAAAAAUGCUCAUUGCAUUUAGUGACAUGGAGGUCAUUAGCAGGAACUCUAUUGGAGGAGAGAUGGGGACAAAAGUCAGGUUGAAGAGCGAGGGGAAUAAGGAAGUGGGGUCAGUUUGUUUAAGCAAUUAGGUUUUAAAAAUUAGCAGUAAAAGAUCAUGGUAGCUGAGGGGAAGAUAAGCUGGGAAAUACUGGGAGACAUUUUAUUUACUCCUCAAAUCAUGAGAGUCAAUCCUUUAGUCUAUUAGUCCAGAAUUUCUUUCUUCCUUUAAUUUGGGGUGGUGUUGGUCCAUCCAGGCUAUAGCUUUGGGGAGUAUUUGAGGAGGAGCGCAGAGAUUGGACUAAUAUAUGUAGACUCCAAAAUCUAAAAUAUAAUCCUAAAUGGGUUAUUCAUUCACUCACUACCCACUGCCAACAAGCCCCACACCAGGGUUUACAGUUUCUGUAUUUUCUAAAAGCCACUCUCACUGCUUUGGUUCUGGAAGGAAAGGAAAAAAAAGAUGUAAUAUUUCUCCACAUAGAUCUGGGGCUUCCCUCUCAUUUGAAGACUUCUUUCCCCAAACAACUAUGCAAAACUAUGUCCUGUUCCCUCCAAUAUCUCUUGUGGGUCCAUCCCACCCAUCUCUGUUUUCACUGGCUUGGAAACUGUCCCUUCUCUAUAUUGGGGUCUAGACAGGUAUGGCCCCCAGGGACACCACUACUUUCUCUGUCCCAGGCAUCAUUACUCAUUCCUCCUCCCUUCGCUGCAGGGAGACUUGCCCCAAGCACCCAGCCGUUGGUCCGGUUAUGCUGGUCUGUGCUGUGGCUGAGCAAGAGGAGGUUCCAGCUUCUCUUGGCACUCAGUCAGUUCUCUACUGCCACUCACUGAUAAUAAACCACAUGCCGAGGGUUGGCAAUUGAUGCUUGUCUUACAGGCCCUGCUGAGACCAGCUGCCCAACACAGGUUCAACAUCUUCUUAUAGACUCUGCUGCCUCUUCUUGGAAGUUUUCU